GGAUGAACGCUGGCGGCGUGCCUAAUACAUGCAAGUCGAGCGAACAGACGAGGAGCUUGCUCCUCUGACGUUAGCGGCGGACGGGUGAGUAACACGUGGAUAACCUACCUAUAAGACUGGGAUAACUUCGGGAAACCGGAGCUAAUACCGGAUAAUAUAUUGAACCGCAUGGUUCAAUAGUGAAAGACGGUUUUGCUGUCACUUAUAGAUGGAUCCGCGCCGCAUUAGCUAGUUGGUAAGGUAACGGCUUACCAAGGCAACGAUGCGUAGCCGACCUGAGAGGGUGAUCGGCCACACUGGAACUGAGACACGGUCCAGACUCCUACGGGAGGCAGCAGUAGGGAAUCUUCCGCAAUGGGCGAAAGCUUGACGGAGCAACGCCGCGUGAGUGAUGAAGGUCUUCGGAUCGUAAAACUCUGUUAUUAGGGAAGAACAAAUGUGUAAGUAACUAUGCACGUCUUGACGGCACCUAAUCAGAAAGCCACGGCUAACUACGUG
rnacentral:rRNA from 1 species